AUUGAACGCUGGCGGCAGGCCUAACACAUGCAAGUCGAGCGGAUGAAGGGAGCUUGCUCCUGGAUUCAGCGGCGGACGGGUGAGUAAUGCCUAGGAAUCUGCCUGGUAGUGGGGGAUAACGUCCGGAAACGGGCGCUAAUACCGCAUACGUCCUGAGGGAGAAAGUGGGGGAUCUUCGGACCUCACGCUAUCAGAUGAGCCUAGGUCGGAUUAGCUAGUUGGUGGGGUAAAGGCCUACCAAGGCGACGAUCCGUAACUGGUCUGAGAGGAUGAUCAGUCACAUGGGAACUGAGACAGGGUCCAGGCUCCUAAGGGAGGCAGCAGAGGGGAAUAUUGGACAAUGGGGGAAAGCCUGGUCCAGCCGUGCCGCGUGUGUGAAGAAGGUCUUCGGAUUGUAAAGCACGUUAAGUUGGGAGGAAGGGCAGUAAGUUAAUACCUUGCUGUUUUGACGUUACCAACAGAAUAAGCACCGGCUAACUUCGUG
rnacentral:rRNA from 1 species